UCUAGCAUUAUUAGUAUUAGAGGCACUGCUGCCCAGUGACAUGCGUUUAACGGCCGCGGUACCCUGACCGUGCAAAGGUAGCAUAAUCACUUGUUCUCUAAAUAAGGACUUGUAUGAAUGGCCACACGAGGGUUUAACUGUCUCUUACUUCCAAUCAGUGAAAUUGACCUAUCCGUGAAGAGGCGGAUAUAACCAAAUAAGACGAGAAGACCCUAUGGAGCUUCAAUUUAAUAAUACAAACUAAUAAUUCAAAAACCAAUAGGCAUCAACUCACUGUACAUGUAUUAUAAAUUUUGGUUGGGGUGACCUCGGAGUACAACAUAACCUCCGAAAGACACACACCAAGACUUCACCAGUCUAAGUAAACUCAUUACAUCCAUUGACCCAAUAACUUGAUCAACGGACUAAGUUACCCUAGGGAUAACAGCGCAAUCCUAUUCUAGAGUCCAUAUCGACAAUAGGGUUUACGACCUCGAUGUUGGAUCAAGACAUCCUAAUGGUGCAGCCGCUAUUAAAGGUUCGUUUGUUC
rnacentral:rRNA from 1 species